GUUUGUCCAAGGAUGAAGGCUCUUCUAGCAAGCGAUAUGGGGCGUUUGCGAAGAAGAAAGAUGGCGAGGCACAUGCUGUGCAAUCCCAUAUCAAACCCAGAAGACCCUCCGUGAGAAGGAAGCCUGUGUGUUCAGCUAGCAACCAGCACCAGGUGGCUCACAUAGCACCUGUCUUCAGAGAUAACCAGCAAUAUCAUCAUCAGCACAACAAUA
rnacentral:lncRNA from 1 species